CUUCACAGGAAGGUGCACGAAUCAUUGCAAUACACAGUCUUGGAAUAACUUGCACACAGACAGAGGUUGAUCUUUUCAACUGUGUGCACCCAAGAAGAGUAAUGGAAACCCUGCUGUUUGAGUCAUUUAACCUUUAGGAUUCUGGCUAAUCGUGAGGCAUCAGGAAACAAAGUCUCUCAGAAAUUAGAAGUGAUUGUGGGAGGAACUCUGGAAUUCAUCACAUUUAUAGUUCAGAGAGAUCAAUCAGCAUCAAGACAACACUGGUAAUUUGAGGGAAAGGCAUCAUCCACAGAGACAUAUGGAAGCAGUUGGAACUCUGCUCAUAAUGAACACAAAUUAAUGAACAUAAAUUGAGCCAGAAGAGCAAAUGAGGAUGUUGGAAUGUGUGCAGGUAGUUUUGAAAUCUCUUUCACAUUGACUGGGAUUGCGAGAUAUAAAUCAAAUGUGAGUCUCUCUCUCUCACUCUGCAAGAACAUUAUUUGUUAGCUGACCAAAUGUGGCUUAGGCAUUUCUAUCAAAACUGCACAGCUAUGGUUCAAAAUCAGCUAUGAGGGAAAGGCAAGCCCUAUUUCCAAGGGAAACUGACUCUAAGGUUUUGGAAUGAGUAUGUGCAGGAAACCUCAUAUGACAUCUUUUAAAAGGCAAGCUGAACAACCCAAAGGUAGAAAAAUAAAGCAUUUGUUCCCCUCAGACAGAAUUACCUGUUCUAAAAAAUCAAAUCUACAAAUCCGUUUAAUCUGUAGAUCAGCUCCAACAAUAGUUUAAACAGCAACUUUAUAACAGACCAGUAGCUGGCCUAUCAAAACUUGAAAGUAGCCACAGAAUAACAAGUACCUUGAAAUGUUGCCAGAAGUAGCCCACACUGGGACAGGCUUCAUUGACUGUAGUGGUGCUGUUGAGGGAAGCUUGAACCAAGUCUCAAAGUCUGAAUUCCUAUUUAUGCUGCAAGGGCCCAAUCCUUCAAUUGACAGCACAUGAGCAAACUACUUCAGGGGGACUCCACUUGGGUGCAGCAGUCUGCCUACCUGCUACUCGUUGCAGGAUUGGAGCCCAAAUACCCCAAAUGCUCCUGCUAGCUCAGGCCUUCAGGAAUUUAUACUGAGUUUAUUUAGUUGUUCAGCUACCAUGAUGACAGACACCAUAUAAAAUCCAGUAUAUAUCAAAUGCCACAAGGUCUAGAGAUACUGCAAUGGAAGACUAGUUAUUCUGGCUUUACACAGAAGAAAUGCAGAGUAUUAAUUGCCGGUGCUUCCUUCUAAAAAAAUAUUAGCAUUA